GCAGCUUUUGAGCUGUUUGGCAGAUGUGUUGAUAUUUAGAGAAGUGGAGGUGUCUGUUUGAGGUGCCAUGCAGGCCGCCUUUGGAAUUGGAUGAGCAUUUGGGGUGCCACAAGUGAUGAUGGUUGUGGUGUCCAACACUGGAAUCUGUGUGGAGCAGGUGAUGAAGAGGAACCUGGCAACUGGAGGAAUAUCCUGGUUUGCUGAUGUGGUUGUUGAGGAUAGAUUCAGACCCCCAGCCCUCUGAAAGCUAAGUUGAGGGACCAGGGACCACUGCCGUACAGUGUGUAAUUUUGAUUUCAGUUGGAAAGAGACUUUCUAAAAUGGAAAUCUUUCUCAUUCAAAGAAGUUGCAUUUGUCGUAGUUUAACCCCAGUCAGCAACUAAGCACCAUGCAGCCAUUUCCCCCUCCCAGUGGGGUGAGGAGGAGGAAAGGGGAAAAAAAAGUAAAACUCGUGGGUUGAGAUAAGAACAGUUUAAUAACUAAAGUAAAAUAUAAUACUAACAAUAGUAGUAAU